CUUGGUCAUUUAGAGGAAGUAAAAGUCGUAACAAGGUUUCCGUAGCUCAAGUCUACGAAGAACAGUAAUGUUCCUUCCGCAGAGUACACUUGCAGAAGCCUUAGUGGCCUGAAAGGGUUCCACCAGCGACUCUAAACAAGUAGGUGGAUUAAACGCUAGUCUCUUGUCUGAGGCAACACUAUCAAAUUGCGGGAAGAUCCUGUCAGGUCCACAUCACCGCGGCUCACCGAAAGGUGCAGUGCAGCACCAGGUUAACAACCUUGGGAAUGGUAAUAGUGUGUGGAAUAGGGAGAAUCUGCAGCCAAGCCCCUUUACAUGUGGGGUGCAGUUCACAGGCCAAAUGGUAGUGGGCACUUCGGUGCUUAAGAUAUGGUCGAGUCCCGGUUGCAAAACUGGGGUACAAGUACUCUGUACAUAUAAAAUGCAAAUGUUCCGUAGGUGAACCUGCGGAAGGAUCAUUAACGAAUGACAAGUCGACCUUCUGUGCUGGUGGCAACACAUGUGCACGUUGGCCGCAAUUCCACACACCUGUGCACCUUUGACUUUGGGAUCCGCUUGUUGGUCUGUCCAGCUUGCAGUCGGCCGCUCCUCUUGGGUUUGGCCUGGGUCUUGAAGUAAUUUUUACACACACUUGUAUGUAUUGGAAUGUCUCUGUGCAUAAUGCGCAAAUGAACAACUUUCAACAACGGAUCUCUUGGCUCUCGCAUCGAUGARRAACGCAGCGAAAUGCGAUAAGUAAUGUGAAUUGCAGAAUUCAGUGAAUCAUCGAAUCUUUGAACGCACCUUGCACCCUUUGGUAUUCCGAGGGGUACGCCCGUUUGAGUGUCAUUGUAAUCUCACUCCAGCAGCCCUUUGCUGGCUGGUGGGAGGUGGACCUGGACUCUGCUGUGUCAUCCAUGACUGGUCUGAAAUGCAUGAGUGUACCCUGCUGUUGCAGCGUCUUCAGUGUGAUAAGUAUCCUCACUGAACAAAGUUCCCUCGGGACACGCACGCACAGUGGGCCCUGCGCUUUCCAACCAUCUGCCUGCCAGACAACCUUUGACAACUUGACCUCAAAUCGGGUGGGAUUACCCGCUGAACUUAAGCAUAUCAAUAAGCGGAGGA
rnacentral:rRNA from 1 species